rnacentral:rRNA from 1 species
CCUGGUUGAUACUGCCAGUAGUCAUAUGCUUGUCUCAAAGAUUAAGCCAUGCAUGUCUAAGUAUGAACUAAUUCAGACUGUGAAACUGCGGAUGGCUCAUUAAAUCAGUUAUAGUUUCUUUGAUGGUACCCUACUACUCAGAUAACCGUAGUAAUUCUAGAGCUAAUAUGUGCACCAUGUCCCGACUCUUUGGAAGGGAUGCAUUUAUUAGAUAAAAGGUCGGUGCGGGCUUGCCCGCUUCUCUGGUGAAUCAUGAUAACUCGACGGAUCACACAGCCCUUGUGCUGGCGAUGCUUCAUUCAAAUUUCUUCCCUAUCAACUUUUGAUGGUAGGAUAGAGGCCUACCAUGGUGGUGAUAGGUGACAGAGAAUUAGGGUUCGAUUCCGGAGAGGGGGCCUGAGAAACAACUACCACAUCCAAGGAAGGCAGCAGGCAUACAAAUUACCCAAUCCUAACAUGGGGAGGUAGUGACAAUAAAUAACAAUACUGGGCUCAUCAAGUCUGGUAAUUGGAAUGAGUACAAUCUAAAUCCAUUAACGAGGAUCCAUUGGAGGGAAAUUCUGGUGCUAGUAGUCGCGGUAAUUCCAGCUCCAAUAGCGUAUAUUUAAGUUGUUACAAUUAAAAAUCUUGUAGUUGGAUCUUGGGUCGUAAAGGUCGGUCCGCCUACUCGGUGUGCACCUGCCCUUCCGUCCCUUUUUCCGACGGCAUGCUCCUAGCCUUAAUUGGCUAGGUCGCGGUUCCGACAUUGUUACUUUGAAAAAAUUAGAGUGCUCAAAGCAAGCUUAUGCUCUGAAUACAUUAGCAUGGAAUAACGCGAUAGGAGUCUGGUCCUAUUGUGUUUGCCUUCAGGACCGGAGUAAUGAUUAAUAGGGACUGUCGGGGGCAUUCGUAUUUCAUUGUCAGAGGUGAAUUUCUUGGAUUUAUGAAAGACAAACCACUGCGAAAGCAUUCGCCAAGGAUUUUUUCAUUAAUCAAGAAUGAAAGUUGGGGGCUCCAAGACGAUCAGAUACUGUCCUAGUCUCAACCAUAAACGAUGCCAACCAGGGAUCAACGAAUGUUUCUCUAAGGACUCUGCCAGCACCUUCUGAGAAAUCAGAGUGUUUGGGUUCCAGGGGGAGUAUGGUCGCAAGGAUGAAACUUAAAGGAAUUGACGGAAGGGCACCACUAGGAGUGGAGCCUGCGGCUUAAUUUGACUCAACAUGGGAAAACUUACCAGGUCCAGACAUAGUAAGGAUUGACAGAUUGAGAGCUCUUUCUUGAUUCUAUGGGUGGUGGUGCAUGGCCAUUCUUAGUUGGUGGAGAGAUUUGUCUGGUUAAUUCCGAUAACGAACGAGACCUCAACCUACUAAAUAGCUACGCAGAGGAUCCCCUUCGCGGCCAACUUCUUAGAGGGACUAUGGCCAUUUAGGCCAUGGAAGUUUGAGGCAAUAACAGGUCUAUGAUGCCCUUAGAUGUUCUGGGAUGCACGCGCACUACACUAAUGCAGUCAAUGAGUUUUUCUCUCUGGUUCGAGAGGAUCGGGAAAUCUUCUCAAAUUGCAUCAUGAUGGGGAUAGACCAUUGAAAUUAUUGGUCUUCAACAAGGAAUUCCUAGUAAGCACAUGUCAUCAGCUCGUGUUUACUACGUCCCUGUCCUUUGUACACACCGCCCGUCGCUCCUACCAAUUGAAUGAUCUGGUGAAGUGUUUGGAUCAUGUCAACGAGGGUGGUUCGCCACCAACGAUGUCGUGAGAAGUUCACUGAACCUUAUCAUUUAGAGGAAGGAGAAGUCGUAACAAGGUUACUGUAGGUGAACCUGCGGUAG